rnacentral:rRNA from 1 species
UAAGGAAUAUUGGUCAAUGGACGCAAGUCUGAACCAGCCACGCCGCGUGGAGGAUUAAGGCCCCCUGGGUUGUAAACUCCUUUUAUCUGGGAAGAAAUGUACUUUUUCUUGAGUACUUGACGGUACCAGAGGAAUAAGCACCGGCUAACUCCGUGCCAGCAGCCGCGGUAAUACGGAGGGUGCAAGCGUUAUCCGGAUUCACUGGGUUUAAAGGGUGCGGAGGUGGGCAGGUAAGUCAGUGGUGAAAUCUCCGGGCUUAACCCGGAAACUGCCGUUGAUACUAGUUGUCUUGAAUAUUGUGGAGGUAAUCGGAAUAUGUCAUGUAGCGGUGAAAUGCUUAGAUAUGACAUAGAACACCAAUUGCGAAGGCAGCUUACUACAUAUAAAUUGACGCUGAGGCACGAAAGCGUGGGGAUCAAACA